rnacentral:rRNA from 1 species
GACGAACGCUGGCGGCGUGCUUAACACAUGCAAGUCGAACGGAAAGGCCCUGCUUUUGUGGGGUGCUCGAGUGGCGAACGGGUGAGUAACACGUGAGUAACCUGCCCUUGACUUUGGGAUAACUUCAGGAAACUGGGGCUAAUACCGGAUAGGAGCUCCUGCUGCAUGGUGGGGGUUGGAAAGUUUCGGCGGUUGGGGAUGGACUCGCGGCUUAUCAGCUUGUUGGUGGGGUAGUGGCUUACCAAGGCUUUGACGGGUAGCCGGCCUGAGAGGGUGACCGGCGAAAUUGGGACUGAGAUACGGCACAGACUCCUACGGGAGGCAGCAGUGGGGAAUAUUGCACAAUGGGCGGAAGCCUGAUGCAGAAACGCCGCGUGCGGGAUGACGGCCUUCGGGUUGUAAACCGCUUUCGCCUGUGACGAAGCGUGAGUGACGGUAAUGGGUAAAGAAGCACCGGAUAACUACGUG